rnacentral:rRNA from 1 species
UACGGAGGGGGCUAGCGUUGUUCGGAAUUACUGGGCGUAAAGCGCACGUAGGCAGCUUUGUAAGUUAGAGGUGAAAGCCCGGGGCUCAACUCCGGAACUGCCUUUAAGACUGCAUCGCUUGAAUCCGGGAGAGGUGAGUGGAAUUCCGAGUGUAGAGGUGAAAUUCGUAGAUAUUCGGAAGAACACCAGUGGCGAAGGCGGCUCACUGGACCGGUAUUGACGCUGGGGUGCGAAAGCGUGGGGAGCAAACAGGG